CUGCCGCGGGCCCAGGAGGUCCUGAAGAUCUACCCUGGCUGGCUCAAGUGAGACUGGGCCCGAGGCUCAGGGUCUGCUGGGCGGGGUGGGGGGAGCUCCAGCUCAGGCUGCGUCCCCACAGGGUGGGCGUGGCCUACGUGUCCGUGCGAGUGACCCCGAAGAGCACGGCCCGCUCUGUGGUGCUGGAGGUCCUGCCGCUGCUCGGCCGCCAGGCCGAGGGUCCCGAGAGCUUCCAGCUGGUGGAGGUGGCAAUGGGCUGCAGGCACGUCCAGCGGACGGUGCUGAUGGAUGAACAGCCCCUGCUGGACCGGCUACAGGACAUCCGGCAGGGAGGCCUUGAGCUGCAGACCUCCCCGAGAUCCUCGAGGGGAAUGGACAGGGGUUGUCCACAGCAAGGAAGCCUCUGUGGCCCCUUUCCUCGUUUUCAUGUUGACUGAAUUCCUGGGAGUGUUCCUGACGCCCUGUUUUGCUGUUGCGGGUGAGGAGACAGAGGGUCUGGUGAGGUGGUGCCGUCCUCCCUGGCCCAGCAUCCCCGCCCCUCUCCCUGCAGAUGUCCGUGCGGCAGCCACCGUGGUGUCCGUGAGUCACGUCUACUCCUCCCAAGGUGCGGUAGUGCUGGACAUCGCCUGCUUUGCGGAGGCCGAGCGGCUGUAUGUGCUGCUGAAGGACAUUGCUGUGCGGGGCCGGCUGCUCACUGCCCUGGUGCUCCCCGACCUGCUGCUGCCUGCCCUGGGGUGAGUGCACGCGAAGCUGCCCCCAGACAGCUGUCCCCUUCUUGUGUUCGUGAACCCCAAGAGUGGAGGCCUCAAGGGCCGAGACCUGCUCUGCAGCUUCCGGAAGCUACUGAACCCUCACCAGGUCUUCGACCUGACCAAUGGGGGUCCUCUUCC
rnacentral:sRNA from 1 species